CUAGAUACAGCAGUCAACCAAUAAGGAAUCUCCACACUUAAUGGCUCGCUGGCGUUACUUCACAAACCACUCCCUCUGGCAAAAUGCCAGGCCCCAUCCAGACUUGUUUACAGACUCUAACAAUUAUUGACACUGUUCUGCUGGUUGGAUUCAAUAACAACUAUGCAGUUACUUACUCAUUGAUAAUAUGCACAUUCGCAGAGGCCAGAAGUGACAUUCAAGCUGGCAUUCUGUUACUUAGCCUUUUCAAGGUCAAAGCCAAUACCAAAACAGAUUGUGGCAAAUAUUGUGGCUGACACCAAACUUUGGUACAAUCUUCAUGCCCAGGAAAUAGUGAUCAAAAGCAAGUGCAGGCCUUUAGGCAGGAGGCAAAGGGCAGCUUUGAGAGAGAAAGGCCAACUACAACAGGCAGACACUAUUUAUUGCUCAAAUUAAGAGGGGAUACAGAGUUAGGCCAGGAAGAGCAUUUGGGGAUUGGGGCUGUAGAACUCUUAUUGUCAGCUAAAGGAAGCUCAUUGAUGGGUUCUGCUAGCCGGUAGUUAUACCUCCACCUGCCUCCCAUCCCCAUCAGUAACCCUAGUUGUUUCCAGAAGAUGUUCCAAGAUGUGACUUCAAUCUUCAUUUUGGCCCUGAGGGUCAUGUGUCUCUAAUGCUGUCCAUGCAGCAGAUCGGAGAAGACCCAUCCCUGCUUCCACCCAGCAUGGGAGGGACCGGGAUCCAGACAAAGACUACACUAAAAGGUGAUGAAACUUAAAUACAAAGAGACUAAGCAACUUUGCAAGACCUCAUGGUAUGUUGGGAGAAGCUAAGCUUAAAAUUCAAGGAAAAUGAAUCACCUGAUCUCCAUCAAGAAGAAAGUGACAGACAGCAUGACGGUGCACAUCUGUAAUCCCAGGAGGCUGAGGCAGGAGCAUCAAGUAUUCAAAGCCAGCCUCAGCAAUGGCAAGUGCUAAGCAACUCAGUGAGACCCUGUCUCUAAAUAAAAUACAAAAUAGGGCUGGGGAUGUGGCUCAGUGGUUGAAUGCCCCUGAGAUCAAUCCCCCAAAAUAAAAUCAUAAAAAAAGCAAAAAAUGAAGAAUGUGAGGCUGGGAUAUGUAGUUCCCUCAUUGAGUGGCUGCUUCUUAGAGUCAAGACUAAACAAUAGAAGGGAAACAUGACUCUUUGGCACCAGUUAUCUCUGCUGUAGGCCUAAAAGCAAUUAGACAUGUGGUUCUUCUCAUCCCACAAAACCUGGACAGCCCUACAGAACUUGAUCCUUUGCAGCAAUGUUAGAAAGGAGGCAUUUUGCAGCAAGAAUAUUUGUAGCA